AUCAACUUUCGAUGGUAGGAUAGAGGCCUACCAUGGUGGUAACGGGUAACGGGGUGUUAGGGCACGACACCGGAGAGGGAGCCUGAGAAACGGCUACCACAUCCAAGGAUGGCAGCAGGCGCGCAAAUUACCCAAUCCCGACACGGGGAGGUAGUGACAAUAAAUAACAAUACGGGGUUCUUUCGGAUCUCGUAAUUGGAAUGAGUACAAUUUAAAUCUCUUAACGAGGAACAAUUGGAGGGCAAGUCUGGUGCCAGCAGCCGCGGUAAUUCCAGCUCCAAUAGCGUAUAUUAAAGUUGUUGCAGUUAAAAAGCUCGUAGUUGAAUUUCGGGGUUAGUAGGUUGGUCAUGCCUCUGGUAUGUACUGGUCUCACUGAUUCCUCCUUCCUGAUGAACCGUAAUGCCAUUAAUUUGGUGUUGCGGGGAAUUUGGACUGUUACUUUGAAAAAAUUAGAGUGUUUAAAGCAAGCUAACGCUAGAAUACAUUAGCAUGGAAUAAUGAAAUAGGACGUUCGAUCCUAUUUUGUUGGUUUCUAGGAUUGACGUAAUGAUUAAUAGGGAUAGUUGGGGGCAUUAGUAUUCAAUUGUCAGAGGUGAAAUUCUUGGAUUUAUUGAAGACUAACUACUGCGAAAGCAUUUGCCAAGGAUGUUUUCAUUAAUCAAGAACGAAAGUUAGGGGAUCGAAGACGAUCAGAUACCGUCGUAGUCUUAACCAUAAACUAUGCCGACUAGGGAUCGGAUGAUGUUAAUUUUUUAAUGACUCAUUCGGCGCCUUACGGGAAACCAAAGUGUUUGGGUUC
rnacentral:rRNA from 1 species